AUUGCUGCCGAAGGCAGCACUCCUAAUCUUGACAUGAAGGUUUCUCCAGAGUUCACUCGACCCAGUCUUUCGCGCCGAUCUAUGUAUUGUCGAGAUUUCGAUUUGUGUCUGUCCGUCCGUUAAGAUGUCGUAAUUCCGGGGGGGAACGGACGGGGGGAGUGCGAGAAAAAUAUUAAAUUGCGAGAAAAAUAUUAAAUUCUGGAUCUGCAAAAUAUACGAACAUUUCCCGAAGAAACCAGGUAAAUAUGGCUUUAUUUCUUUGUGCUAAUAUCCAUCAAGGCGAUAAACUGUUUAGCGUUCAUUCUGGAGGCAAGCAAUGUGCUUUUAUGAGUUUACGGCGCUUCUUACAGCCCGAAAUAAUUCCCAUUCGCAUUGUCCGCAUGGUCGUUUGUAGAACAUUUGAUAAUUUUAUGUCAUAU